UUACGGCCAUAUCACAUUGAAACACCGGUUCUCAUACAAUCACCGAAGUUAAGCAACAUCGAGUCUGGUCAGUACCUAGAUGGGUGACCUAGAUGGGUGACCGCUUCCAAAUACCAGGUGCUGUA